rnacentral:rRNA from 1 species
GCUCAACUGAGGAAUUGCUUUGGAAACUGGAUGACUUGAGUGCAGAAGAGGAAAGUGGAACUCCAUGUGUAGCGGUGGAAUGCGUAGAUAUAUGGAAGAACACCAGUGGCGAAGGCGGCUUUCUGGACUGUAACUGACGUUGAGGCUCGAAAGUGUGGGUAGCAAACAGGAUUAGAUACCCUGGUAGUCCACACCGUAAACGAUGAGUGCUAGGUGUUUGAGGGUUUCCGCCCUUAAGUGCCGCAGCUAACGCAUUAAGCACUCCGCCUGGGGAGUACGACCGCAAGGUUGAAACUCAAAGGAAUUGACGGGGGCCCGCACAAGCGGUGGAGCAUGUGGUUUAAUUCGAAGCAACGCGAAGAACCUUACCAGGUCUUGACAUCCCUUGACAACUCCAGAGAUGGAGCGUUCCCUUCGGGGACAAGGAGACAGGUGGUGCAUGGUUGUCGUCAGCUCGUGUCGUGAGAUGUUGGGUUAAGUCCCGCAACGAGCGCAACCCUUAUUACUAGUUGCCAGCAUUCAGUUGGGCACUCUAGUGAGACUGCCGGUGACAAACCGGAGGAAGGUGGGGAUGACGUCAAAUCAUCAUGCCCCUUAUGACCUGCGCUACACACGUGCUACAAUGGUCGUAUACAACG